UCCAAAUAUUUACCCUCUUAUGGGCAGUCACCUAUUCCCUUGGCUAAAACAACCCUAACAAGAAAUUCCUGUGACCAAAUCAAGACGCAGUCAGAAAAACCCACUUCGAAGAUUUAACACACUGAUAAAGAAGAUGAAAUUUAGGGCUCCUCAGAGAAUUCCUUGCUUCGGUUAUAAUGGACGCCUCAAUCAUCUACAUGCACAGCGUUACUAUUUUACGAGUACCUUUUUUCGUAAGGUACAAGCCACCGAAGCUCGAGCUUCGCUCAAUAGUGGCGGCAGCAGUAGUAGUAACAGCAGCUCUCAGGUUACUUGUUCACCUGUCCCAAUAUCGGCACAACAGCUGAGAUCUGAGGCUACUGGUAUGCAGGUAGCAAUCUCUUAUUGCCUGGUGCAACAGUCGCAACUAUAGUUAUGCUUGGUCUUCUACAUGCCCGACGUCUUUAUGAUGAUCAAAAGGUUGAAGAGGCAAGAGAAAAAGGAACUUUAGAAUUCCGGCCUGAUGCAAAGGCUACUUUCAUGAGAUUGCUUCCACUACGCUCCAUUUCUAGAUUCUGGGGUACCUUGACCAGUGUGGAACUUCCGAUGUGGCUGCGCCCAUAUGCAUAUAAAGGAUGGGCUCGGGCAUUUCAUUCAAGUAAGCAGCCUUUCUAGUUUCUACUUCGUGAUGCUCUGACC